rnacentral:lncRNA from 1 species
CGCAUGCCUGCCCGCCCGCCAGCCUGCCGGGUACGGCCUUUUCCGCCGGGGCUUCCAGGUCAAAGAAUUCGCCUUUGCCGCUACCGCUUUCUUACCCUCCGCACCCGUUAAGUUCUCCGGUCGGGCGGCAGUCUCUGAACACUUAGCCGCGCCAUCCGGGGUCACACCGCCUGGAAGGAGGUGACGGGGGCGGCGCGGGGCGCGGACACUCCCCGCUGAGAGUCCGCCUGCCAUGGACUCGGAAUAUUACAGCGGCGACCAGUCAGAUGAUGGUGGUGCUACCCCAGUACAGGAUGAACGGGAUUCAGGGUCAGACGGUGAGGAUGAUGUAAAUGAGCAACACUCCGGAUCAGACACUGGAAGUGUAGAACGUCAUUCAGAGGGUUACUAGACACAGGACCGUGACUACUAAUGAAACUAGUGAUCGAGAAGAUGGCCUCCCCAAAGGACAUCAUGUGACAGACUCUGAGAACGAUGAGCCCUUAAAUCUUAAUGCUAGUGACUCUGAAAGUGAGGAGCUUCACAGGCAAAAGGACAGCGACUCUGAAUCUGAGGAACGUGCAGAGCCUCCUGCAAGCGAUUCUGAAAAUGAGGAUGUCAAUCAGCAU